GCCCGAUUAACUCAGUUGGUUAGAGUGUCAGACUUUUACCUUCGUUCCGUUGUUAGAAAUCUGAAAGUCACGAGUUCGACCCUCGUAUCGGGCG
rfam:Aspergillus clavatus NRRL 1 1099423829806 genomic scaffold, whole genome shotgun sequence.